CAAGAAUUAGUUUUUAAUAAAAUAUUAAUUUUGGAGAUUAAUGAUAAGUAUAUUCUUAUUCUUGA
rnacentral:tRNA from 1 species